rnacentral:rRNA from 1 species
AUUGAACGCUGGCGGCAGGCCUAACACAUGCAAGUCGAGCGGAUGAAGGGAGCUUGCUCCUGGAUUCAGCGGCGGACGGGUGAGUAAUGCCUAGGAAUCUGCCUGGUAGUGGGGGAUAACGUCCGGAAACGGGCGCUAAUACCGCAUACGUCCUGAGUGAGAAAGAGGGGGAUCUUCGGACCUCACGCUAUCAGAUGAGCCUAGGUCGGAUUGGCUAGUUGGUGGGGUAAAGGCCUACCAAGGCGACGAUCCGUAACUGGUCUGAGAGGAUGAUCAGUCACACGGGAACUGGGACACGGUCCAGACUCCUACGGGAGGCAGAAGUGGGGAAUAUUGGACAAUGGGCGAAAGCCUGAUCCAGACAUGCGGCGUGUGUGAAGAAGGUCUUCGGAUUGUAAAGCCCUUUAAGUUGGGAGGAAGGGCAGUAAGUUAAUACCUUGCUGUUUUGACGUUACCAACAGAAUAAGCACCGGCUAACUUCGUG